AAUCCGGUUGAUCCUGCCGGACCCCACUGCUAUCGGGAUAGGACUAAGACAUGCUAGUCGAGCGCUUCAGCCAAAAAGAGGCGCGGCAUACAGCUCAGUAACACGUGGCUAAUCUGCCCUUAGGACGAGAACAACCCCGGGAAACUGGGGCUAAUUCUCGAUAGGUGAAGAACUCUGGAAUGAGUCUUCGCCCAAAAAGCUUCACGUUAUGCGCGUGAGGUCGCCUAAGGAUGAGGCCGCGACCGAUCAGGUUGUUGGUGAGGUAAUGGCUCACCAAGCCUUUUACCGGUGCGGGCCGUGAGAGCGGGAGCCCGGAGAUGGGCACUGAGACAAGGGCCCAGGCCCUACGGGGCGCAGCAGUCGCGAAAACUUUGCAAUACACGAAAGUGUGACAGGGCUAUCCCGAGUGCCAUCCGCUGAGGAAGGCUUUUACCCAGUCUAGAACGCCGGGGGAAUAAGCGGGGGGCAA
rnacentral:rRNA from 1 species